rnacentral:rRNA from 1 species
UACGGAGGGUGCAAGCGUUAUCCGGAAUCAUUGGGUUUAAAGGGUCCGCAGGCGGGAAGAUAAGUCAGUGGUGAAAUCUCACAGCUCAACUGUGAAACUGCCAUUGAUACUGUCUUUCUUGAAUUCGAUCGAAGUGGCGGAAUGUGACAUGUAGCGGUGAAAUGCUUAGAUAUGUCACAGAACACCUAUGGCGAAGGCAGCACUCUGGGACGGUACUGACGCUGAGACGCGAAAGCGUGGGGAGCGAACAGG